rnacentral:rRNA from 1 species
UUACCAGCUUGACAUCUACGAAAGCUUCGGGGAACAGGUGCUGCAUGGCCGUCGUCAGCUCGUGUCGUGAGAUGUUUGGUUAAGUCCAGCAACGAGCGCAACCCUGUGAUAGUUGCCAGCAUAUGGGACUCUAUCAGACUGCCCAGGUCAAUGGGAGGAAGGUGGGGAUGACGUCAGGUCAGUAUGGCCCUUACGCUGGGCUGCACACGUACUACAAUGCAGUACAUGAGCCACCGCGAGGGGAGGAAUCUGCAACUGGCCCAGUUCGGAUUGGAGGCUGCAACUCGCCUCCAUGAAGUUGGAAUCGCUAGUAAUGGCAAUCAGCACGUGCCGUGAAUACGUCCCGGGUCUUGUACACACCGCCCGUCACAUCAUGGAAGCCGACGACCGAA